GCCCUGCUCAACGCUCCCCCCCCCCCCAAUCCCCAACCACAUCUGAGGCCUGCCCAGCCUCUCCAGCCCUGCUCAUCCCACCCUCCCAGCUCCCACUCCAAACACUCCUGGGGACUGCUAUCCCUCUGGCCUUUCCUGUCCCACCCCCCCUAGCUUCUUCACCACCAAACACACGGGAGAACUGCUCCCCCUUCCCCCCAUGGCCCUGCUCAGCCUGCCUUCCCUCCCCACACCCCUGCUCCCCAAACACCCCUGGGGGCUACCCGUCCUUCCUUCCUCCCCUUGCUCAUCCCACCUGGCUGUACCCUGUACCCACAAAUGCUCCAGGGGGAUGCCCUGGUCCUCCUGCCCUGCUAAAACCCACCUGCCUAGCUCCACACCCCCAAACAUCUCUGGGGGCUACCCUCUCCCCCAGCCCUGCUUGUCCCACCUGGCUCUGCCCUGUACCCCCAAAUGCUCCAGGGGGGUGCCCUGGCCCCUCCUGCCCUGCUAAAACCCACCUGCCUAGCUCCACACCCCCAAACACCUCUGGGGGCUGCCCUGCUUGUUCCACCUGGCUGUGCCCCCCAUCCCAAACACACCUGGGGGCUAUUCGGGUGCUGCUCAAUCCACCUAGCUGGCUGUGCCCUCAGUUAACUGCUGCCCAGCCCCCCCCUCCUUCCAAACACACACGUAACUGGGCCUGUCCUUCCCCACCUUCUGCCCAGCCCCCAUACCCCAAACAAUCUCUGCCAGCUGCUAGGCCUUGCCUGACACUCAUCCGGGACUGCUUCUUAUCCACAUUCCAAGGAGUGUCUUGUUCUCGACCCAGCUCAGACAAGUGACCUGAUUUUAAAAGUCACUUUCUGAAUAACGAGGCGCUUUGUCCUUGCUCCCAUCACCACAGAUAAAGGGCACCUUAUCUGCCUUCUCCUUGAUAAGAUGGCGCUUUCCGGAUUACUGGGGAAAGUGUUUAGGUGAAUUUAGUGCUGGUGUAUGGUGCUGAAUUAUGUGACCUUCAACUGAGACAUGAAAGAUGCUGGAUUGGAAGCUCUGGAGACUGAAGCUUCCUAUUUACUACAGAACAGCAACUUCCUGCUGUGUGAAUCAACGGGCUGAAUUUUGAGAAGCAUCAUGUUCCAUCUGGGGCUCUGUGGACAGCCUUCUAUUCCUGGAUCCAUCCCAAAAGCUCAAGU